rnacentral:rRNA from 1 species
GCAGCCGCGGUAAUACGUAGGGGGCAAGCGUUAUCCGGAUUUACUGGGUGUAAAGGGAGCGUAGACGGCUUUGCAAGUCUGAAGUGAAAUACCCGGGCUCAACCUGGGAACUGCUUUGGAAACUGUAGAGCUAGAGUGCUGGAGAGGCAAGCGGAAUUCCUAGUGUAGCGGUGAAAUGCGUAGAUAUUAGGAGGAACACCAGUGGCGAAGGCGGCUUGCUGGACAGUAACUGACGUUGAGGCUCGAAAGCGUGGGGAGCAAACAGGAUUAGAUACCCC